AAGUCGUAACAAGGUCUCCGUUGGUGAACCAGCGGAGGGAUCAUUACAGAGUUAUCUAACUCCCAAACCCAUGUGAACUUACCACUGUUGCCUCGGCAGAUGUUGCUGGGCGAACCUACCCUGUAGCGAGCUACCCUGUAGCGACCUACCCGGGAACGGCUUACCCUGUAGCGCCUGCCGGUGGACUACUAAACUCUUGUUAUUUUUAAGUAAUCUGAGCGUCUUAUUUUAAUAAGUCAAAACUUUCAACAACGGAUCUCUUGGUUCUG
rnacentral:misc_RNA from 1 species